GCGUAGUAAUACGUGAAGCUGACUGUUACUAAUCGGUCGAGGGCUUAACCAA
rnacentral:rRNA from 3 species